UUAAUAUUUGUGUCCUUCUCAAUUCUUAAGUUGAAAUCCUAAUCUCCAGUGGUGAUGGCAUUAUGAGGUGGGGGUCUUUGUGAGGUUAUUAGAUCAUGAGGAUAGACGCCUCAUGAAUGGAAUCAGUGACCUUAUAAAAGGUACUUCAGAGAGCUAGUCCCAUCCUCUUUCCUCCAAGUGAGGAUACAAGGAGAAGUUGGCCAUCUGCAACCUAGAAAAGGAACCUCACAGGAACCCUCCCAUGCUGGCACCUGAUCUUGGGCUUCCAGCCUCCAGAAUAGUUCAGUGUGCAGUGACAUUACCAUAACUCACUGUAACCUCAAACUCCUGGGCUGAAGCGAUCCUCCUGUCUCAUCCUCCCGAGAAAUUGAGAGUACAGUCAAUUAUUCUGCAGUAUGGAAGAUUUCCUCAAACAUGUAAGGGAAUACUGCAAAAUGUAAUCAUGGAAGCAUGGUGGUGUUAUCACUCUCCUGAUUCCUGAAGAAUAAUUAUAAUUGGAUGCAUGUUCAUCAAAGGACCAUCAACAAUCAACUUUUGCCAAAAGGUGACAAAGCCUACAUAUCUAUCAAUGAGUGAAUGGAUAAACAGAGAUUAUGGUAUGCACAAACAAUGGCAUAUUAUUCAGGCAUAAAAAGGAAUGAAGUACUGAUAUAUACUACAACAUGGAUGAGCCUCCAAAACUCUUUAAGAAAAGAAACCAGACAAAACAGAAAGUCACAUAUGGGGAAAAGCAAAGUGAGGUCAAAAGAGAAGGCUGCCACCUACCAGCCAGGAAGAGAGCCUUCACCAGAAAGAGACCCUGCUUGAGUUUCAUCGGGAAUUCCUAGCCUCCAUAUU